AGGUGGGACCAUAGAGCUCCCAGGAGAAUAUGUCCUUUGUCUUCAGCUACCAGAGCAGGUAGAGAAAGACCAUUAGGUUGGGGCAAGGUUAGGUGUGUCUGAGCUCAGACUCUUCUUGGGUGGGGCUUGCUGUGGCUGCUGUGGGGUAUGUGGGUGUGGUUCUCAGGCCAGUGGGAUUAUGUUUCCAGGGGUAUUAUGGCUGCCUCUGCUGCAUCAUGCAGGUCACCAGGGAAGUGGGAGAAAACUGGCAGUUACAGGCCUCAUGCAGCUCCCACGUAUCCCAAAAGGCCAGUGUUACUCCUACCGUGCCCUCUCAAUAGCACUGAGUUUAUUUCCAGGCAGCGGGUGAACAGAGCUGGGAACUUUCCCCAGGCCACCAGCCUCCCCGCUGAGAAAGCAUGCAGGACUUUCAGGUUCUGUGUUUCCCCACCUGCCGCAGCUUCUGUGCUGUGUCUGCACUCCCUAUUCGCCCCCUCCCCCAGGUUCUGUCCAGGAAACUGCGUUUGGUCAAAAUGGUUACAAAGUUCAGCUGGAAGUUUCCUUCUCCCUGUGGUCUUUUCCCAGUUCCUCUGGCAGCCCUCUCCAAGGACCCCUGUGAGACAAAGUCAGAAACGGCUUCGCUGGGGACCAAGAGUGCCCACAGGGCUCUUCCUGCUGCUGCUUCUACACCUGUAUUUCACUUGGCUCUCUAAAUUUGUCUCAGCUCCAGGUAAGGUCAGAUCCUUCUGUGAUCUGGACCUUCAGGUUCCCCAGUGAGGGUGUGUGUUUGGGGGCAGAUGAUCCCUCUUUCACACUUUGGGCACUCAGAGUGUUUUGGCUGUCUCCAGGUGCCUGCAGCAGCAAUCCGCUUCCUUCAAAGGAUCUGUGGAUCCUCUCGCUUUCCUGCCUAAGGAGUAGAGCCCUCCUGACCUUGGAGCUUCUCUUCUGAGCUCUUGCAUUGAGACGCUGGCACCUGUGUACAGAAGCACUGUAAGGAGGAUAGCUGCCUGCUGACUUGCUCCGCCUACGGAAGACUUGGUGUCCAUUUUGACUUCGCGAACCUAAGGCUUGAACUAGUAUAGCCUUUUCUAAUUAAUAGUACAUACAAUAACAAUGAUUGCUUUUUGGUUGUAGUUAGCUAAAAGUUUCGUUAGUUUAGUAUUUUGGUUCUAAAACACAUUUUAAAUUUUCUCUGGUUAUACAUUCCAUGUAGAUUAAAGGCAUAAAUCCAUGUAGAAUAACAAAUGGACCUCAUGGUAUGGACUCAGCAUGAUUAUGUUCUAUGUAGAAUCUAGAGACGAAUUUAGAGACCCAAUUUCAGAUACAUAAUUUCUGUGCAGUUUUUGUACCAAUUAGCAAAGAGAUGAUUGACGGUUGCUAGUCCUGUGAAACAGCAGUAGUUACGCAGUAUAUGUCCUAGUGGUAUGGAGUUUAAGAAUGAAAAUUUUAUCCUAAGACUUAGCCCACUUGUAUCGUCACUCUAUACGUCAUUUAUUUUGGGACUCUUCUUGCUUUUAGAUGACAAUUUACAAAAUUAUUUGUCAUUUCUUUAAUUGGUAUUUGUACUUAUGUCCCACAAACGGCUUAAUUUGUGUGUCCAUCAGUGGCAUGUUAAGCCCACUUUAGCCCAUAUAUGUUACUCAGUGUUGUCAAACGUGUAUUUUCUACUAAACGGUAUCUAUUUCAAGAGUUUGUCAGAUAAACUAUGCAGAACCAA